ensembl:lncRNA
GGUGGAAAGUUGUGUGUUGGUGUGAGAGUGGUGGAGAGGUGUGUGUUGGUGUGAGAGGGGUGGAGAGGUAUGUGUUGGUGUGAGAGGGGUAGAAAGGUGUUGGUUGGUGUGAGAGUGGUGGAGAGGUGUGUGUUGGUGUGAGAGUGGUAGAGAGGUGUGUGUUGGUGUGAGAGUGGUGGAUAGGUGUGUGUAGGUGUGAGAGGGGUGGAGAGGUAUGUGUUGGUGUGAGAGUGGUGGAGAGGUGUGUGUUGGUGUGAGAGUGGUGGAUAGGUGUGUGUUGGUGUGAGAGGGGUGGAGAGGUGUGAGAGGGGUGGAGAGGUAUGUGUUGGUGUGAGAGUGGUGGAUAGGUAUGUGUUGGUGUGAGAGUGGUGGAGAGGUAUGUGUUGGUGUGAGAGAGGUGGAUAGGUAUGUGUUGGUGUGAGAGGGGUGGAUAGGUGUGUGUUGGUGUGAGAGUGGUGACUAGGUAUGUGUUGGUGUGAGAGAGGGGACUGUUGCCCCCUAGUGGCCAGUUUCCAAGUCAUCUCCCGACGUUCUCAGACAUGGAUGGACUUCGAAUACUGACUUGUAUCACAGGUGACCUGGCUGCCCACUUCACCCUGACAGCUCCGGAGACGAGACCCCAGGCACAAUGUAUGUUUAGCUGUAGCUCACAGCUGUAGGCCCAU